GGAGGCGCGGCGGGAGCGGGCGCGGCGGCGGCGGCUCCUCGGGUGCCUCUUCCCGCAUCAUGCCGCUGCGGGACGGGCUCCGGCCGCAGCUGGGGGACGUGGCUGCAGCCGAGCGCACCUCCCGCGCCUGGAGAGGAGGAGGAGGAGGAGGAAGAAGGUGCACAAGUUGAAGUGAAGAUUUUCCGUCUUGGCAAAUCAAGAUGGAAGAAUGUGAGUUAAAGUGAUCUAAAGCUAUGUGGCAAGUUGGUGACAUCACUGGGAGCAGAUGCUGGGAGUUGCAUGCCUACUGCCCUGGCUUCUCUAUGAAAGAGAGAGGCAUGUAAACAUGGCAGACCCAGGAGGUUUUCUCAAAGACCUGAGAUUAAAGAAAAAGUCUGAAGGCAGAUGUCCAAGAAGACGUUUUCACAGAGCAAAGUUACAUUUGAGAAUGAAUUCUUCUGGAACUUGCUUCAAGGGUUGAAGAUCAUGCUGUGAGUUUUAGAAUUUCCAGCAAACCUGGCUGCAGCAAAAGAAAUGUUUAGUAGUGUCUGCAUUUGAAGAUUCCUGAAGCUUCAUCUUUUCUCAUACGUGGGUUCAAAUAAACUCCAACACUACAGCCAGUGAAAGUGCCUGUGAUGUUGCUUGUGAUUCAGAAUAUUUGCUGCAACCUGUGUAGUGAAAUGUCAGUUUAAAAAAUUAUAGCUGUUCUGCUCCAAGUUUCUAUUUUUGCUGUGCUCCUGCUGAAUAUGCCUUAAAAGUUGUAAUCUUCGCUUCUCCCGGUAAUCUCAGCUCCAUACACUGUUUUCACAGCCAGAUUCUAGAGUACUUCUAUGUCACUAGGUGUUUUCUCCACAUGGCUAAGAAGGGGUUUUGAAAAACAAAAGUGAAAUAAUGAUACAACUACAGUAAGUUUGAAAUGAUUGUGCUUGUAUUUUUGUAGCAUCCCAAGUAAUAUCAUUUUUAACCUUUCUGGAAUUUAGGACUUUCCUUAGUGUGUAUGGGAACUGUUUGUCAUUUUGCCUUGAGCAGUGAAAGAUCGAAGUACUGCUUCUUACCUCACUCUUUCUAAUGCCUAUGAAAUCUGAUAACCUUUUAAAGCAACAGCUACUUUGAAGAUCAGGUUGUCGGUCUUCUGGUGUUGUGACUCUUCCUCUUUUUCUGCCUCUAAUGUGGGAAAUCUGGAGAAGACAUGAAGAGUAUAAAAUAGCUUUAGUUUUACUCACUUCCCUCCCAUAUUGUAGGGUAGCUUGUAAACUAUAAAUAUGUGUUCAGAAACACUGCUUUUUAUUAGUGAGGGACAAAACUCAGUUUUGUUUUCCAAAUGCAAAGCCAGGAUGUGUGAGUCACAAGUGUGAUUCUUGGAGUGUCAGUCCAGUGCUGCUAUUAGGGUGUUCAGUUAAUGACAUGGAGGGAGAUGUGAUGGAUUUUUGUCAAAAAUGUCUUUAUUUGAAUAAAGCUGUCUUAACUAGUUCUCUUUA